CACAUUGUUUUUUCAUGUGAAACCUUCAUAUAAGAGUAUAUCAAUCAUACCUUAAUAAAAAACUUAAAAAAAUGUACAUAAAAAAUAAAACCAGUGACUCCAUGGAAAAAAAAUGUGAAGCCACUUGGAAACGUAGCAUGUGACACUCCAUCCUGAGAGCUGAAAUGCAAGUCUCUCCCCCCUGGAUCAACAUGGCACAGAAUGUCCAAGGCGAGUCAGGUGGGAAUCAGGUCUUUUUUCUUCCCUGUUACUAAAGUAAUCUGUGUCCAGUGUAGGUAAUUGUAGAUAUUUAGAAAAUAGAGAAGAGCAUGAAAAAAAUGUAACCACUUCUAACAUCUGAGGUAUUUUUUUUCCUAUGAGAUAUGAGAUUAGAUUCUGUUGUCAUCAUUUUUUUGAAAAUAGGGUUUCGAUGGCAGAACUCUCUUUAUUCUCCUAAUAGAAAUUUAUUAUUUCCCAAAUUUGUGCCAACUUUAAUGUGAUAAACUAUUGUACUUCCAUCUUUAUACCUUUGAUGAUGUGCUUAGGACAAAAUUCUGGGAGAAUUACGGAGUUAAAGAGUAUGUAACACUUUAAGAAGGUCUCAUUCUGUACUGCCCAGUUACCAUCCAGAAAGGCUGUCAGUUAUGCUCUAUACCAGGGCUUCUGAUGGGACCCUUAGAUGAAGCAAGGAGACUUACAGCCAUGGAGGGAGAGGCCUAAGUACCCUUCCUGGGGAUACCCUGAGCUCUUCAUCUGCUUGGCUGUGUAUCUAGAUAUCAGAGGACAGAUACUAUGUCGCUGAAACAGUGUUCUUGAUGCAGCAGAGGGCUUUAUCAGAGAAACUGGGUGGGGAGGGCUUGUUCUGUUAUAUAUUGCCUAAGAGAAAAGUAGCAAAAUGCCUUUUAAUCUUUAAACAUUUUCAGAAGAAAAAAACCUCAAAGCACUUCCGCCCAUCUUUUAAACCUAUUCCCAGUUAUAAGCUUGGGGAGUCCUCUCUCUCGUGCCUAAAGUCAGAAGAAAAGUGUGUGCAGCACUUGAGGUAGAGAAGAUCAAUUGUUCCUGGUCCCGAAUGUAUCUGGGAAGAAUCCAAAAGAAGGAAUCAUGCUGUUGCACUGGGGUUCCUGGGGUCGGGGAAGCAAGCCCACAUUGCUCCCUCUUCUCCAUGUGCUUUCCUCUGUCCCUUUAUCCUCAAGAGUACCUAUUCUGUCCAAGAGCCAUGCUGGAUGCUGGGGGGUCUAAGCACUGUACAGUCCCUCGGGUUGUAAGGUAUUCUGUGUUCAGCUGGUAGUGUCAACAGAGCACGUGCAGUGGUCAGAGGGUGGAACCUGUAUCUGUGAGCGGGAGUCAGUCUGGAAAAAGGUAAGGGCUUCCCAGAGGAAGGGGCAUUUGAGCUGUGCCUUGAGAAAUGAGAGGAAUUUAAGUGAGGGUACUGAAGGAGAAAGGAGGGAAGGGGGGAGGGAGGCAUGUAGGCAAAGGAAUUAACCUGGGAACCAACAUGGAGAUUUCGGUGGGCCACUGGGCCCCUCCCCUUGCCCUACUGAAGGUUGAACCUGAGAAGUUUGCUUAUUUUCCUCCAGUUCUGCACAUGCCAGUGGAAUGGUGAGAAGAGCUGGUCCUGAGUCCGUGCUUGAGAGACCAACUGGUCAGAGACUCCUGCCAACGGGGAGGGAACGGGACAAGUCUGAAGUAGUGAGCCCCGGGGAUACACAGGACGGCAGCCCUCCUGGAGUCUGCCUGACUCCACGGCACACAGCUCAUCCAACCCGCCUCUUGCCAACACCUAACUCAUAGAGCCAUGCAGCAAACAUGAUGCAAUAAUAAUUAAACCAGAGAUCACCACUGCCCUGCAGCCAGGAACUUCCCGGCAGGGAGUCAAACUGCAGCUUCAGGGAGUGCGACCCCGCUCCUCUCAGGCCCUUGGGUAGGAGGGGUAGUUACAUGCUUGUGCUUGUCCCAUGUCUCAUUGCUUGACAUUCUGGCCCAGAAAAGGAAACUUACACUACUUCCCUUGUGGAAAUCAGGGCCACUGAUUGCCACCAUGUCACUUGCCAGUCAGUGAUACUGGAGCAGGCAGCCUCUGCAGCCCAUGGGUCACUUAAUUUUCCUUUGGCCUUAGAUGGAGAAAGAACACACAGAAACGCCACCAGCAACCCAGCCACAGACAACUGCGGGAGGAAACUGCUGGAAACCCAAGAAAAAAAGCAGAAGAAUAAAGGGAUGAUGACAACAAAGUAGAAAUGACCAGGGAACAGGAUGGAAACAAGGAAAUGAAGCUAGAGUUGGGGGAAGGAAGCAAGAACUUCCUCAGCUGGAAGCUGCAUACAGUGUUUCCAAAAAGGCCUCCCAUGAGCCAUUGGCGGGCUUUCCAGACUUCAAAGUGGGCUUCUGCGAGCCGUCGAGAGCCAAACCACUGGGGAAGGUGUUUGGCUGAUUUAGCAGGUGACACAUCUGAGAUUCUGCCUGAUAACCACACAAAUUUGAAGAAUAUCAAAGACACGGCCUCCUACAAAAAUAUCUCCUGACCUACAGCUCCACAUAGGAACUGGGCAGGCAAAAGGCUUCUCUUCCCCUCCAUUCAUGCACAUGGAGCUGAGGAUGGCUUCAGAGCUGAUGGCGCUCUCUGUGGUCCAGGACUCAUCGCUGUCCGACUCCUCGUAAUCCACCUCCUCCUCAUCAUA